rnacentral:tRNA from 1 species
UAAUAGCUCAGUGGUAGAGUUUGUGCUUAGCAUGUAUGAGGUCCUGGGUUCAAUUCCCAAUAUUAA